UUAAAGCCACCAGCAAGAAUUCCAGAAUUGCAGUAACUGUGGUUGAGAUCAUCUGGAAGGUCUGCAAGGGACACUGCAGGGUCAUGGCAGAGCAGUGCCAAUUCUGACCCAACAUGAUCAGCCAACUCCUGUGUCUGUUCAUUGAGCUGACAGUGGCCUCCUGGAUCAGCUCAGUCAGGACCUUCUCCUGUUGCUGGGAUCUGCCUCCCCUCACUCGUGCCACUCCAGCACUGGCUGCUCUCAUGCACUAAAAGCCAAGGACCCUGAAAGGAAGAGGAAAAUAUACUUUCUAGCCCAUCCAACAUGUCAAUGACAAUGAGAUCUUUCAUUAUGAUGUAGAACAGAAGACAAGACUGCAGGUAAAGGUCCUCGAGGUUGCAGGACUUGAUGGAAUUCAUCCUGGACUGCUUAAGGAGGCAGAUAAACAAUCUCUGACUGUCUUCAGAGACCUGGGAAGCUGGAGUGUUGAUAUAUCUUGCCCUGCCAUGGUGCUUACUGUCAAUAAA